GUGCUUGCUUUGGUAGCACAUAACUAACAUUGGAAAGAUACAGAGAAGAUCAGCAGGGCGCCUGUGCAGGGAUGACAUGCAAAUUCAUGAAGCGUAUCAAAAAAAAUUU
ensembl:snRNA U6 U6 spliceosomal RNA